AGCCAGGUGUUUAUAUACUUGGUUACUUCUGCUCAAUGGUAAGCUAAAUAGCCGCAGUACCCUGACUGUGCAAAGGUAGCAUAAUCAUUUGGCUUAUAAUUGAAGUCUGGCAUGAAAGAAAUUAUGGGUAGCAACUGUCUUCUAUAGAUCCUUAGAAUUUACUAAGUAGGUGAAAAUUCCUACAGUCUAAUAAUAGACGAGAAGACCCUAGAAAUUUUAAUAUAAAAGUAUUUUAUUUGGCUUACUAUUUUGUUGGGGCGACAGAAUAACAGUUGAACUUAUUUUAAUUUAUUUGCACUAAUUUUUGCGAAAAUGUAAAUUACUCUAGGGAUAACAGCAUAAUUUAUUAAAGUUUGUGACCUCGAUGUUGGACUAGGGUUUUUAAUAAUCAGAAGUUAUUAAAUUAGGCUCUGUUCGAGCUUUGUCCCCU
rnacentral:rRNA from 1 species